GAAAAACAUAGUAUAGCAUAAUACGUUUCACUUACACUGAAAAUAUACUUAAGUAAUAAGUUGUUUUUAAACUAAAC
rnacentral:tRNA from 1 species